rnacentral:miRNA from 1 species
ACCAGCGCGUUUUCAGUUUCAU